rnacentral:lncRNA from 1 species
CCUCAAUAUGGUAAGAUUCUAUUCUAUUAUUCCAUAUUAAGAUUCUUCUAUUCCAUGAAGAAUUUCUGUCUAUGGUGUCUACAGUCUAUGUUGUGGAAUAUUUUUGAUCAAUUCUUUUUACUGAAAAUAAUUUAUAUCCUUUGCUUUUUACUUACCAAUAUAUUUCAUUAUAUUCUCAUGAUUUGUCUUAUAGAAACCAUUUAAAAUUUCCGAAAUGGCUAAGCUUGCAAAAGCUCUUUGUCAUAGGUACCACCGAUCUGCCCAGUGUGAAGGUACUAACUGAUCUAAAUGAUCAGGCUUUCUAGCAGAACCAUUUCAUCCUUCAGACUUCAAUUUAAAUAGCAUCACCUCAGAGGUUUAAAAAAUUAUUUCAAACGCUGGAAUUUGUCACCUAUCAACCCACUCUGUGCUCAAUAUUGUGUGGGGGGCAAAUACACAGAAGAUCCAGUGGGUGGCUGCUCCAGGAAAUGUAUGACUAAUGGGAAUCAACAAUUUAGAAGUAUCUUCUAUAAGAACUAAUUUUCCCUUCUGUUUUCUAAAAGGUCUAAAAAAGGGGUGAAUAUUAAAUAAAUUGAAAAUGGGAAACGUGACCCACCAAAGGAAAGCAGGAAGGAAGGAGAACGAUGUGAACGGUGGUCUCUAACGGGAUGGCGCAGAGUGUACUAACUGAUGCUCCAUGGCAACAGUAUCUCCCCAUCUGUAGUUUGCAAAGGAGGGGAAAAGGUCAGGGUUUAUGGAAUAUUCAGGUGGCCACUAGGGGAUGCCAGAAUGCCGACAGCUUUCAGCAUGACUCGUUUCCCUUGGGGAAUCUGGGUUUGAGAUUGAAUAUAGUUCAAGUGCACCAGAAAUAACUUCUCCUUUUCCAGUAAAAUUGUGAGAAUGUGACUUAGGUCACACAGUUAAUAGGAGACCAGGGAUUAGAAAUCAAGCGUUUAUGAGUCCCAGACCAUUACUGAGUUCCAGGUCAUACUGCUAUCCAAGAAAACAAAAUCUUCUAUCCCUGCGGCAGGACACUGCAAACUAGACAGAAACUACAAAAGUAAAAUGACAAUGACAACAACAACAAAACCAACGAACCAAACAGAAAUGCCGGAAGUUGGAAAUACACUUUAGAAUUUAAAAAAAAAAAAAAUUAAGUAGUAUGAUCCUGCUUUUUUUGUCUUAGAAAUGUAAAAAAUAUGUCUAUACAGGGAGAAAAACUUAGAAAUACAUGUGCCAAAAUCUUAAUAAGGGAAUUUGGAGGUGGUGGGAUAUUGGUCUUACUGUUUUCUGGGGUUUUUUCCCUCUGCUUUAUUCAUUUUCUAUAGUUU